ACUCAAAGGAAUUGACGGGGGCCCGCACAAGCGGCGGAGCAUGCGGCUUAAUUCGAUGCAACGCGAAGAACCUUACCAGGGCUUGACAUGCACGGUGUAGGCCUAGAGAUGGGCUGUCCUUUGGGGUCGUGCACAGGUGGUGCAUGGUUGUCGUCAGCUCGUGUCGUGAGAUGUUGGGUUAAGUCCCGCAACGAGCGCAACCCUCGUCCUGUAUUGCCAGCAACUCCUUCGGGAGGUUGGGGACUUGCGGGAGACUGCCGGGGUCAACUCGGAGGAAGGUGGGGAUGACGUCAAAUCAUCAUGCCCCUUAUGUCCUGGGCUGCACGCAUGCUACAAUGGCCGGUACAGAGGGCUGCGAUACCGUGAGGUGGAGCGAAUCCCGUAAAGCCGGUCUCAGUUCGGAUCGGGGUCUGCAACUCGACCCCGUGAAGUCGGAGUCGCUAGUAAUCGCAGAUCAGCAACGCUGCGGUGAAUACGUUCCCGGGCCUUGUACACACCGCCCGU
rnacentral:rRNA from 1 species